AUUUGAGCCGGGAUGGCUUGCCGGCAUAUGCAUAAAAAGCAAAGAUCCCCUGUGUGGCUUGCCGGUGCCAUCCCGUCUCAUAUUUGCUCCCUUUACACACUCAUGUGAGACUUUGAAAAGAGCUUCAUUUACGGUAUCCAUUGUGCCUUCU
rnacentral:pre_miRNA from 1 species